CCGAGCUGCAGACGGAGAAAACAGAUGUACAGAGUCAUUGUCAGUGCACAUCAGGAGGUUGUGAUGGAGAAAACGUACCACGCGUGCAGAAGGAGCCGGCUGACUGUCUGACAGUGAGGACAGAGAGUCCAGAUGGUUCCUUUUUCCAAGCAGCAACGAUGAGCACUGGUAACGCUGGAACUGAAGCAGUCACUUCGCUCAGCAGAGAUGUAC
rnacentral:lncRNA from 1 species